rnacentral:rRNA from 1 species
CCUACGGGUGGCAGCAGUGAGGAAUAUUGGUCAAUGGACGAGAGUCUGAACCAGCCAAGUAGCGUGAAGGAUGACUGCCCUAUGGGUUGUAAACUUCUUUUAUAUGGGACUAAAAUGUUCCACGUGUGGGAUUUUGUAUGUACCAUAUGAAUAAGGAUCGGCUAACUCCGUGCCAGCAGCCGCGGUAAUACGGAGGAUCCGAGCGUUAUCCGGAUUUAUUGGGUGUAAAGGGAGCGUAGGUGGAUUGUUAAGUCAGUUGUGAAAGUUUGCGGCUCAACCGUAAAAUUGCAGUUGAAACUGGCAGUCUUGAGUACAGUAGAGGUGGGCGGAAUUCGUGGUGUAGCGGUGAAAUGCUUAGAUAUCACGAAGAACUCCGAUUGCGAAGGCAGUUCACUGGACUGCAACGGACACUGAGGCUCGAAAGUGUGGGUAUCAAACAGGAUUAGAUACCCUUGUAGUC